rnacentral:rRNA from 1 species
AGAAUCAACGCUGGCGGCGUGCCUAACACAUGCAAGUCGAACGAGAAAGUGGAGCAAUCCAUGAGUAAAGUGGCGCACGGGUGAGUACACGUGACUAACCUACCCUUGAGUGGGGGAUAACCUAGAGAAAUCUGGGCUAAUACCGCAUAAUACCUUCGGGUCAAAGGAGCAAUUCGCUUAAGGAGGGGGUCGCGGCCGAUUAGUUAGUUGGCGGGGUAAUGGCCCACCAAGACUAUGAUCGGUA